AACGUAGGUGGCAAGCGUUAUCCGGAAUUACUGGGCGUAAAGGGUGUGCAGGCGGGGGAGCGAGUGGGGUAUGAAAUCUCCAGGCUUAACCUGGAGGGGUUAUGCCAGACUGCAUCUCUAGAGGACGAGAGAGGGGGGUGGAAUUCCGGGUGUAGUGGUGAAAUGCGUAGAGAUCCGGAGGAACCCCAGAGGCGAAGGCGGCCCCCUGGCUCGUACCUGACGCUCAGCCACGAAAGCAUGGGGAGCGAACGGG
rnacentral:rRNA from 1 species